rnacentral:rRNA from 1 species
UGAGGAAUAUUGGUCAAUGGGUGCAAGCCUGAACCAGCCAUCCCGCGUGAAGGGCGACUGCCCUAUGGGUUGUAAACUUCUUUUGUAUAGGGAUAAACCUACCCUCGUGAGGGUAGCUGAAGGUACUAUACGAAUAAGCACCGGCUAACUCCGUGCCAGCAGCCGCGGUAAUACGGAGGGUGCAAGCGUUAUCCGGAUUUAUUGGGUUUAAAGGGUCCGUAGGCGGACUUAUAAGUCAGUGGUGAAAGCCUGUCGCUUAACGAUAGGACUGCCAUUGAUACUGUAAGUCUUGAGUAUAUUUGAGGUAGCUGGAAUAAGUAGUGUAGCGGUGAAAUGCAUAGAUAUUACUUAGAACACCAAUUUCGAAGGCAGGUUACCAAGAUAUAACUGACGCUGAGGGACGAAAGCGUGGGGAGCGAACA